CUAAAAAGUGUAUUUGGGCUGUAGUUCAUGUUAUGGACUUAUUUACAUUAACCUGACUUAAUUCUUUUACUUUAGUUAUGACAACUUGCUUUCAUGAGUUCAAUUAACUUAACAGUCACGCAUUUUAUCUCAAACGAACUUUUUAAUUUGAGUCGAAGUGAAACAAUUAAGUUUAAUGCAGCUUUACGUCUGACGUCAUUACGUAAGCUCCGCCCGGGACAGAUCCUGCAUCUCUGGUACCGACCGCCAUUUCUUCUGAGCAUUGACUGUCGACGAGAUUCAGAUAAAACAGCCUAGAACCAAGAAUCAUCAAACCACAUAAGGUUGAAGACAUUGGGAUUCGAAGGGAAUGUGUUCUGAAAGGGCUCAUCACCUUUCUUGGAGAGGAUGCAAAAGACCUUAUUAAGGAAUACUGUGGCAGCAGCGGAGAUGAUGCCCAGAUGGAACUCAAACAACUCACCAUGGCCAUGUUUGUGAUUCGGAAGGAGGGAGAGGGAUUGAAAGAACCCCCAGAAGACAUUGGCAUCGUCAUUGAGGGAGUGGAGGUGUUGCAUGACCUGACUUCAGUUGCCUCAGCAUGUGCCCUGCUUCUGGGUUUGAUAUAUUCCCUUAACUUGGCUUAUCCAAAGGUUCUGCGCUUCACAUUUGAAGUGUUCCAAAAAAUCUUCAUGCAGCUUGAGCAGCACAAGAUGUCUCCCAAAGUUCAAAAUUUGUUUGGAAGACUUCAGACCUCACAGUAAAGACACUGGCAUGUUGUGCAACAGGACAGAAGAUCUUCAGUCUUCUUUGUUUGGACAGAAGAGCGCCAUGUUUUGGAAGCUUAACACCCCAAGGAACUGCACUUUGUGAACUUCUUUUGGGACAUUGUUCAUAUUAAAGCCACAAGUAAUACAGAGUUUACUGGAUAACAAUUGACUGGUAUUUCUGGAGGAUGUUUACUGAUGAGGUUGUGAUGAACAUUAUCAUUUUGGGAGUAGGUCUUUUUUGUUUUUGACAUUUCAUAAAGUUACAUGGUUCAUCUCUUUGGUUUUGUGUGGGGAAAAAAAUACAAGUUAAGGGGGAAAAAUUAAAGUAGGAAAGUAGUAGGCUGCUGCAGUUUGUGGACAUUUUCACAGAAUUUUCUUUUUGCAUUUUUUUAAAAAUUUGAAUCAACAGAUUUGUUCAGUGUUUUUUGAAGGAGGUUGAAUGGAUCUAGAUCAUAAUGUUUACUAUUCUGUUCUUUUCUGGUGUCAGUUAAAUUAACGGACUUGGUUUAAACUAGGCAGCUAUUACACCACAUCUUUGUUUGAAAACUUGCCUAAAUAUUUUUUGGGUAUUGCUCUUAUUUUCAGUGUAAAAAUAGUCACUAGUGUCAUCAUAUUUUAUGUCAAAAACAUGUUCUCAGCAAAUGUUA